CCUACGGGUGGCAGCAGUAGGGAAUUGUUCGCAAUGGGCGCAAGCCUGACGACGCAACGCCGCGUGGAGGAUGAAGAUUUUCGGAUCGUAAACUCCUUUCGAUUGGGACGAAUUUUCCGGGGGUUAACAGCCUCUGCAAGUGACGGUACCGAGAGAAGAAGCCCCGGCUAACUCCGUGCCAGCAGCCGCGGUAAUACGGGGGGGGCAAGCGUUGUUCGGAAUUACUGGGCGUAAAGGGCUCGUAGGCGGCCAACUAAGUCAUACGUGAAAUCCCUCGGCUUAACCGGGGAACUGCGUCUGAUACUGGAUGGCUCGAGUUCGGGAGAGGGAUGCGGAAUUCCAGGUGUAGCGGUGAAAUGCGUAGAUAUCUGGAGGAACACCGGUGGCGAAGGCGGCAUCCUGGACCGAUACUGACGCUGAGGAGCGAAAGCCAGGGGAGCAAACGGGAUUAGAUACCCGAGUAGUC
rnacentral:rRNA from 1 species